UGAGGAACAUGACCUUCGGCGGGGGACAGCCGGCCCAACGGCCGGGUAAUACCGCGUACGACCACAUGGGGACAUCCCUGAGUGGUGAAAGCAGCAAUGCGCCGAUGGAGUGCCUCACGGCCUAUCAGCUAGUUGGUGUGGGUAACGGCCCACCAAGGCGACGACGGGUAGCCGGCCUGAGAGGGUGACCGGCCACACUGGGACUGAGACACGGCCCAGACUCCGUACGGGAGGCAGCAGG
rnacentral:rRNA from 1 species